rnacentral:rRNA from 1 species
AGAGUUUGAUCAUGGCUCAGGACGAACGCUGGCGGCGUGCCUAACACAUGCAAGUCGAACGAGGUCCAUCCUUCGGGAGAAGACCUAGUGGCGAACGGGUGAGUAACACGUGAAGAACCUGCCCCGAAGACCGGGAUAACCCUCCGAAAGGAGAGCUAAUACCGGAUACCCCCACGAACCGCAUGGUUUGGUGAGGAAAUGGAUUCCGCUUCGGGAGGGCUUCGCGGCCUAUCAGCUAGUGUGGGGUAACGGCCCACCAAGGCAUCGACGGGUAGCUGGUCUGAGAGGACGAUCAGCCACACUGGGACUGAGACACGGCCCAGACUCCUACGGGAGGCAGCAGUGGGGAAUCUUGCGCAAUGGGCGAAAGCCUGACGCAGCAACGCCGCGUGGGGGAUGAAGGCUCUCGGGUUGUAAACCCCUUUCAGCAGGGACGAAUCAAGACGGUACCUGCAGAAGAAGCCCCGGCUAACUACGUG